UACGGAGGGGGCUAGCGUUGUUCGGAAUUACUGGGCGUAAAGCGCGCGUAGGCGGCUUUGUAAGUCAGAGGUGAAAGCCUGGAGCUCAACUCCAGAACUGCCUUUGAGACUGCAUCGCUAGAAUCAUGGAGAGGUUAGUGGAAUUCCGAGUGUAGAGGUGAAAUUCGUAGAUAUUCGGAAGAACACCAGUGGCGAAGGCGGCCAACUGGCCCGAUACUGACGCUCAUGUGCGAAAGCGUGGGGAGCAAACAGG
rnacentral:rRNA from 1 species